GACAGAGGCCUCGAGCGUUAGGCGGAAUCACUGGGCUUAAAGCGUGUGUAGGCGGGCCCGUAAGUGAUCUUGUGAAAUCCCACGGCUCCAACCGUGGAACUGCGUGGGCAUACUGCGGGUCGUUGGGCCAACUAGGGGCAGCCGGAACAAGCGGUGGAGCGGUGAAAUGCGUAGAUAUCGCUUGGAACGCCGAAGGUGAAAACGAGGCUGACUGGGGGUUCUGCGCCGGACGGCUAGCACGAACGAAAGCCAGGGGUAGGCAAAACGGGGA
rnacentral:rRNA from 1 species